AUUUCGAGUCUUUUCAUUCUCAUCGAAGAGUCAAGAUAGCAGCUUGGCAACUCAGCUGCAGCCUUUUCAGAGUUGUUCAAAAGCACUAGGGUUUCAGAAAAAUUCGAUCUUCAGAGUACUGAAUCAUCACAAAGGAAGAUUCUACGAUAAGGGUUGUUCAGAUCGGUGUUUGUAAAACAUCUGCCUCAAUAUGUUGCAAAGCUCUGGGUUUGCUUAUGGUGAGUCACAUGUGAGGAUGGAUGCUCCUUUUGGUUUGGGCUGAUGCUUGUGAGAAGUGCUUUCCAUCAGGCUCCAAGUGACCCGGGCUAAUUAUGCCAAAGAUUUGGGUGGAAAAGUGAAGUUCUGUUUUAGUUGCAUGGAUGAGAGGACUUGAUAUCUACUGAAGAUGCUUCAUAUAAUAACAUGAUGUGAAAAUUUUUGUCAGGUUCUAUUUUCUUAUAGAAACUAAACAUGCCUAAGGAGAGAAGAGAUAGGUCUGUUUCUUUUGAUAGGAGCAGAGCUUCUCCUUACUGUUGUAGCUCGAGUCACUCAAGGUCAUCAUUGUCCAAAAACCCUUUGGAAAAUGAGGAAAAUGUGAAGGACUGGGAAGAUGCUCGAUGCCCAGUGUGUAUGGAACAUCCUCAUAAUGCUAUUCUCCUUCUGUGUGCCUCUCAUGAGAAGGGCUGUCGUCCUUUUAUGUGUGACACAAGUUAUAGGCAUUCAAAUUGUUUUGAUCAGUUCAAAAAGUCAUUUGAAGAAGCUUCAGCAUCAACAACUCAGCAAGUGGAGAUUCCAGCUUCAGCUUCUAUUACGGAAUCUACUGUAACGUUAUCAGAAGCUCUGUCUGAACUUCCAGGUGAAAGGACCGAAGGUGGUUCUAUAUCCCUAGAUGCCUUGUCUUGCGAGAACCAUGAAAUAAAGAAGAUGCUAUGCCCUCUCUGCCGUGGCCAGAUAAAUGAUUGGAUUGUUGUAGACUCUGCCCGUCGUCACAUGAAUGCCAAAUUAAGAAGCUGCUCUAGCGAGACAUGCGAGUUCAGUGGCACAUAUACAGAUUUGCGUAAGCAUGCUAGGCAGGAGCAUCCUCUUGUACGUCCUACAGAAGCUGACCCAGAGAGGCAGCGCAGUUGGAGGAGGCUGGAACGACAGAGAGAUUUAGGAGAUCUGCUCAGUACAUUGCAGUCAUCUGUUUCAGAAGAGGGUAGUGAAAGCACCAGUUUAACCUUUGAUGAGGGUGGUUUGCUGACUGUUUUUCUCUUUGUUCGGAUUCUCCAACCUAGGAGUAGUUCUCGGAGUAGUAGCUGGUCAGGUUCCUCAAGAACCCGGGCUCAGGCAACUGGGAGGAGACGACCUUCAAGAAGACUUUGGGGUGAAACUUAUGAAGGGGAAAUUGAUACUAGGGAUGACGAGAAUGACGACUCUGAUGGAGGAUCAGGUCCCCGGAGACGCCUGCGUCGACAACCAACCCCAGAAAAUUAGUUCUGGCUGCAAACAUGUGUUUGCUUGCUAUUCCUUUUGAAUGUUACCGCUGUAGGUGGAGGGAAACCUCGUGGUCCAAAAUAUGUCGUGCUGAAAGCUGGGGAAUCGCUUCUUGGAUACAAGAUUCGGAUGGAAAAUUGUGUUUGGUUAGUAGUAUAACUUGUAUACAUGUCCUUCUUGAUGAAAUCUCAUCUCAUCCUGUGUGCUAUGCAAAUGCUUUAUAUCUACUUGAAUUGAUAAAGUUGGAAAGCAAUUUGCUAGUUUUGCUUCUCGUCUUAUGAAUAAACCCCAUUACUGCAAGCAAAAUAUUAAACUUUGGCUACUACAGCAUGAAAGGAAUAUUCACUUUGCUUUUAGCUGUU